AUCUCGGUUGGGAAGAGGAGGUUGAAGUGGUGGCUGGUUUUAUGAGUUGGUUACGGUUGUUGAAGAUUUGGAUUGUGAAGUUGUUAGAGUUUGGAGGUGGUUGUUGGGUUGGAAGAGAGGUUGGUUGAGGGUUGAGGCUGAAGGAUUGGUUGAAGACGAUUCCAGAUCGUGAUUGUGAAAUGUUUCAGAAUUCCUUCCGAUUGUGAAUUUUUCUGUUGUUGAAUAUUUGGUGAAGGUUGUUUAGAGGUGCGAUGAGGAUUCGAGAGCGAGCUGGAAGAUGGGAAGAAGAUUGAUUUUAUAGGGUGAUGAUACUGAUUUUUCUGUUAUGGAUUGGUUAUUAUGCAGGUUGUGUUUAGAGAAGAAGAAUUGGUUGAAUGGUGAUGGAGGUUACGGUUGGAGAAAAAUCUGGAAAAGUUUGUUAGAAUUGUUACUGGAUUGUGAGUUUUUCUUUUUUGUGCAGAAUUUGUUGUGCGGUUAUGGCUAUGCAGCUGCUGUGUUGUACUGUGUUGUUUUGUCGGUUUGUGAAUGAGCUACCACCUUCUUUUGCUGUGCGUUUUCAA